GACGAACGCUGGCGGCGUGCUUAACACAUGCAAGUCGAACGGAAAGGCCCUGCUUUUGUGGGGUGCUCGAGUGGCGAACGGGUGAGUAACACGUGAGUAACCUGCCCUUGACUUUGGGAUAACUUCAGGAAACUGGGGCUAAUACCGGAUAGGAGCUCCUGCUGCAUGGUGGGGGUUGGAAAGUUUCGGCGGUUGGGGAUGGACUCGCGGCUUAUCAGCUUGUUGGUGGGGUAGUGGCUUACCAAGGCUUUGACGGGUAGCCGGCCUGAGAGGGUGACCGGCCACAUUGGGACUGAGACACGGCCCAGACUCCUACGGGAGGCAGCAGUGGGGAAUAUUGCACAAUGGGCGGAAGCCUGAUGCAGCAACGCCGCGUGCGGGAUGACGGCCUUCGGGUUGUAAACCGCUUUCGCCUGUGACGAAGCGUGAGUGGCGGUAAUGGGUAAAGAAGCACCGGCUAACUACGUG
rnacentral:rRNA from 1 species